rnacentral:rRNA from 1 species
AAGUCGUAACAAGGUUUCCGUAGGUGAACCUGCGGAAGGAUCAUUAAUAAAUGCGUGGGAAGGUAUGCGGGGAAGGGCGUCCUUGGUAGAGGUAUGCUGCCUCCCGAAAUGAGGGACACGCCAACCGCAUUCCGGAACACACAGUUACACCCUUGAUUAUUUACAAUUGUUGCUUUGGUGGACCGCCUCCGGGCGUGGGCCGUGGCCUGCCGUGUCCGCCAGAGGACCCAAACUCUGUUUUUAGUGACGUCUGAGUACUAUAUAAUAGUUAAAACUUUCAACAACGGAUCUCUUGGUUCUGGCAUCGAUGAAGAACGCAGCGAAAUGCGAUAAGUAAUGUGAAUUGCAGAAUUCAGUGAAUCAUCGAAUCUUUGAACGCACAUUGCGCCCGCUGGUAUUCCGGCGGGCAUGCCUGUUCGAGCGUCAUUAGACCAAUCACUUUACGUGGUAUUGGGGCUCGCCGUACCGGCGGCCCUUAAAAACAGUGGCGGUGCCGCCUGGCUCUCAGCGUAGUAAUUUCUCUCGCUUGGAAGUCUGGCGGGCGGCUUGCCAACAACCCCCAACUUUUUACUAGGUUGACCUCGGAUCAGGUAGGGAUACCCGCUGAACUUAAGCAUAUCAAUAAGCGGAGGAAAAGAAACCAACAGGGAUUACCUCAGUAACGGCGAGUGAAGCGGUAACAGCUCAAAUUUGAAAUCUGGCCCUUUCAGGGUCCGAGUUGUAAUUUGUAGAAGAUGCUUUGGGAGUGGUGCCGGUCUAAGUUCCUUGGAACAGGACGUCAUAGAGGGUGAGAAUCCCGUAUGUGACCGGUCGCCUUCGCCCGUGUAAAGCUCUUUCGACGAGUCGAGUUGUUUGGGAAUGCAGCUCAAAAUGGGUGGUAAAUUUCAUCUAAAGCUAAAUAUUGGCCAGAGACCGAUAGCGCACAAGUAGAGUGAUCGAAAGAUGAAAAGCACUUUGGAAAGAGAGUUAGACAGUACGUGAAAUUGUUGAAAGGGAAGCGCUUGCAACCAGACUUGCCUGCGGUCGAUCAUCCGAGCUUUUGCCCGGUGCACUCGACCGUGGUCAGGCCAGCAUCGGUUUCGGUGGUGGGAUAAAGGCCUUGGGAAUGUGGCUCCUCUCGGGGAGUGUUAUAGCCCUCGGUGCAAUGCCGCCUACCGGGACCGAGGACCGCGCUUCGGCUAGGAUGCUGGCGUAAUGGUUGUAAGCGACC